CACCUCUAGCUAAACCCACAUAUAUUAGAGGCACUGCCUGCCCAGUGAACUUAUUCAACGGCCGCGGUAUUCCGACCGUGCAAAGGUAGCAUAAUCACUUGUCUUUUAAAUCAAGACUAGUAUGAACGGCAAAACGAAAGCUUAACUGUCUCCUUUAUUCAAUUAAUGAAAUUGAACUUCUUGUACAAAAGCAAGAAUUACCUAAUAAGACGAGAAGACCCUAUGGAACUUAAACCACACAACCAAUUUAAUUAUCUAAUUAAUAAAAUAAAUUCUGGACCCGUUGGUUUUGGUUGGGACGACCGUGGAGAAAAAAAAUCCUCCAAGAAUUUAACCAAGAUAAACAUAACAAAGUCUCAAAAACUUGAACACUUGACCCAAUACAUUUGACAAACGAACCAAGCUACCCUAGGGAUAACAGCGCAAUCUUCUUUAAGAGUCCAUAUCACUAAGAAGGUUUACGACCUCGAUGUUGGAUCAGGAUACCCAAACAGUGCAGCUGCUGUUAAAGGUUUGUUUGUUCAACAAUUAAAAUCCU
rnacentral:rRNA from 1 species